AUUGAACGCUGGCGGCAGGCUUAACACAUGCAAGUCGAGCGGAGAGAGGUAGCUUGCUACCGAUCUUAGCGGCGGACGGGUGAGUAAUGCUUAGGAAUCUGCCUAUUAGUGGGGGACAACAUUUCGAAAGGAAUGCUAAUACCGCAUUCGUCCUACGGGAGAAAGCAGGGGAUCUUCGGACCUUGCGCUAAUAGAUGGGCCUAAGUCGGAUUAGCUAGUUGGUGGGGUAAAGGCCUACCAAGGCGACGACCUGUAGCGGGUCUGAGAGGAUGAUCGGCCACACUGGGACUGAGACACGGCCCAGACUCCUACGGGAGGCAGCAGUGGGGAAUAUUGGACAAUGGGCGCAAGCCUGAUCCAGCCAUGCCGCGUGUGUGAAGAAGGCCUUAUGGUUGUAAAGCACUUUAAGCGAGGAGGAGGCUACUUUAGUUAAUACCUAGAGAUAGUGGACGUUACUCGCAGAAUAAGCACCGGCUAACUCUGUGCCAGCCGCCGCAGUAAUAC
rnacentral:rRNA from 1 species